CAGCUAAUCGUCCAUUUCAAUUG
rnacentral:miRNA from 12 species